GACGAAUGCUGGCUGCGUGCUUAACACAUGCAAGUCGAACGGUGAAGGGGAGCUUGCUCCCCGGAUCAGUGGCGAACGGGUGAGUAACACGUGGGCAACCUGCCCCUCACUCUGGGAUAACUCCGGGAAACCGGGGCUAAUACCGGAUACGACCGGGAGCGACAUCGCUCCUGGUGGAAAGAACUUCGGUGAGGGAGGGGCCCGCGGCCUAUCAGCUAGUUGGUGGGGUAACGGCCCACCAAGGCGACGACGGGUAGCCGGCCUGAGAGGGCGACCUGCCACACGGGGACUGAGACACGGCCCAGACGCCUACGGGAGGCAGCAGUGGGGAAUAUUGCGCAAUGGGCGAAAGCCUGACGCAGCGACGCAGCGUGAGGGACGAAGGCCUUCGGGUUAUAAACCUCUUUCAGCGGGGACGAAGCGAAAGUGACGGUACCCGCAGAAGAAGCACCGGCUAACUACGUGCCAGCCGCCGCCGUAA
rnacentral:rRNA from 1 species